rnacentral:miRNA from 1 species
AGGCGGAGGACCUGGAGGGGA